rnacentral:lncRNA from 1 species
ACUAAUUAUAUAUAUUCUGUCCCCUUUUUUCUAAUAAAAUAAUUUUAUAGGUCCCUCUCCUUGAGCGAAGUUAUUAAUUGCUUGGUUGAUUUGAUCGCAUGUCUUAUAUCUAAAUAUGUCGGAAUAAAUAUACCGACGCUUUAAUAUAGCGUCGGAAAAUUUUUACCAGUAUUUUAUAAAAAUAUGUUUAUUGGUGACGCUUAAUCAUAGUAUCAGCACAUACCAAAUAUUGAAGGUGCUAAAAUAGACGUCGUUUAAAAAGCGUCGUUUAAAUUAAACAUAUUUUGUUGUAGUGAUAUAUUUUUCCUUACAUGCUUAAUAUCAAAGCUACAUAUUGAGAAGGAGCGGAAAGGGAAAAACCUAUAUAAUCUCUAAUCUCUC